UUAUAAUAGGAUCUGUUCAAUGUUAGUCGUUAAAAUACUCAUUGUUAUAAAUUAAAUAGUACGGAUUUGUGUUAGUAAAAAUCGAUUAGUGUGUAAAAUCCCAUUCGAAUCCACACGAACAAAUAACGACAAUGACAAACGAAUUAAAAACGAAAUAGAAAAAGUUCUCGACAGUGCAGUGCAUCGGUGGAAACUUCCGUGGGCGAAGAGCUAGUUCCGGUUCCUUCGGCCGCAUAGAUCCCGACGAUUUGGAUGCCGGAGACUUUCGGUCCAAAUCCGUGCCGCCAUUGCUUUUGAGCACGCGGGAUUGCCGUUUGCUGAACGUAGGCCGCCAUCUUCCAGCCACAUUCCAGUGCCGCACUAGCCCCGUCCGUGGAUUGACGUCCGGACUGUAAAGACCCUGCGACCAACG